GAUACCGCGAGGUGGAGCGAAUCUCACAAAGUACGUCGUAGUCCGGAUUGGAGUCUGCAACUCGACUCCAUGAAGUCGGAAUCGCUAGUAAUCGCAAAUCAGAAUGUUGCGGUGAAUACGUUCCCGGGCCUUGUACACACCGCCCGUCACACCAUGGGAGUGGGCUGCAAAAGAAGCAGGUAGUUUAACCUUCGGGAGGACGCUUGCCACUUUGUGGUUCAUGACUGGGGUGAAGUCGUAACAAGGUAGCGCUAGGGGAACCUGGCGCUGGAUCACCUCCUUACACGA
rnacentral:rRNA from 1 species